UACUUCUAAGGAAGGCAGCAGGCGCGCAAACUACCCAAUCGACAACGUCGGAGGUGGUGACGAGCAGUACUGGAUGCUUGAUUUUUAAAUUCGGGCAUUCAGAAUGAACGAUGCACAGAUACUACGCUGAAUGCAAGAAGAGGGCAAGUCUGGUGCCAGCAGCCGCGGUAAUUCCAGCUCUUCGAGCAUAUAUUAAAGUUGUUGCGUUUAAAACGCCCGUAGUUGAGAUUCUAAUUAUGUGAGGAGAGGUGUGUGUGUGUGUGGUGUGUGUAUAAGUGUGUGUGUGUGUGUGUGUGUGUGUAAGUGUAUGGAGGUGAAGAUGGAGAUGGUUGUGUGAGUGAGAGUAAAAGGAAUGGAUGGAAUGGAUGAAAGAGAGAGAAAGAGGAAAGGAAGAAGUGAAGAGAGAGGGAAGGGGGUUAGAUGAAGGAAGGAGGGAAGUGAGAGAAGUAAGAGAGAGGGAGGGAGAGAGAGAGAGAGAGUGGGAGUGAGAGAGUUACGAACAAAGGAGUAACAAUGGAUGCAGAUUGUUGGGAAGUAAGUCCAGUAUAAGUGAUAUGGUCAGAUGCACAUAUCAACUGGACGAACGCUCUAACAAGUCGUUGAUACUUCCGACUCUCAGAAGAAGCGUAAGAUUGAAUUGCAUAUACAUGAUGGGCAUGUGUAUGAUGGAGUCGUCAUUCAUAUAUGUACGAUGGUAUACAGUACAAUAUGAUAUGGUGGUGGUUGUGGCUGUGGUGUAGCCAUGCACAGUUAGGUGUGUGGUUAUGUUACAAUCGUAAUCAUUAUCAUUAUCUAAUUGUGUAUCUUCGCAUGUGUGUGAGUGGCGAUGAAAUUAUGUAUGCAAUUCAAUCUUACACUCCUUCUGGGGGUCUGGGGAAUUGGCGACUUGUUAAAAGCGUUCGUCCAGUUGGUACGUGCAUCUGUUCAUCUUGCUUAUAUUGUAUGAGCUUCCCAACAGUUUGUUGAAUCUGUUACUUCUUUCUUUAUAACUCUCUUUCUCUCAUUCUCUCUCUCUCUCUCUCUCUCUCUCCUACUUCUCUUCCUUUUCUCUUUUUGAAGUCUUUCACCCUUUCUCUUCAUGGAUUUCUUAAAUCUUUUGAUCUUGAUCAUACAUACAUUCAUUUCUUCUCAUGAUCAUAAUAAUCAUAAUCAUAAUCAUCUUUAUAUAAAUACAUAAACAUAUAUACAUAAACAUAAAUACAUAUACAUAUACAUAUAUCUCUCUCUCUCAUGAUUGAAUUUAGUUACCAUAAAGAAAUUGGAGUGUCUCAAGCAGGUCUUGCCUUAACGGGCGUUGGCCCCUGUACAUUGCAGUAUGGAAUAACAGAUUAGACCUAUGUCUGUCUGCUGGUCAAGUCCUCAUCAUAGGGAUCGGUGGAUUUAUUCUAAUAUGUGAUGUUAGUGUUCUCAUAUUGAGUAUUUAUUGAUAACUUAUGAUUUAACAAGUUGUUUCAGUAUUUCGGUAUUGAGAUGAUGGAAUUGAAUUGUAUGGAGUAGGUAAGUAUUCAAUAUGAGGUCCAACAUUAACAUUGUGUAUUAGUGUAUCUAUUGAUAACUGGUUGAGGAACAGAUGUGGCGUGAUGGUAAAUAGGGGCGGUAUCGGGGGCAUAAGUAUUGGGCCGGGAGAGGUAAAAUUCUAUGAUCGGCCCACGACUAACUGAGGCGAAAGCGCUUGCCAAGGACGCUUUCAUUGAUCAAGGACGAUAGCUGGGGGAGAGAAGGAGAUCAGACACCUCUGUAUUCCCAAGCUGUAAACGAUGCCGACUAGGUAUGGGGAGUAGUUCUUAAUUGAUAUUCUCCGUGCCCCACGAGAAAUCUGUAAGUAUUCAGGUUACGGGGGGAGUAUGGUCGCAAGGCUGAAACUUAAAGGAAUUGACGGAAGGGCACCACAAUUGGCGUGGAGCCUGCGGCUUAAUUGGAUUCAACGCCGUUAAACUUACCGGGCCCUGACUCGCUCGGGAUAGACAGGACUACGUUCUUUCGUGAUUGCGAGAGUGGUGGUGCAUGGCCGUUCUUAGUUCGUGGUGUGAACUGUCUGCUUAAUUGCGAUAACGGACGAGACCUCCGCCUAGUGACUGUCUAGGUUAAUAGGAUACUUCUGUAUUCUGUUAAUCUGGAUAGUUUUAAUAGGAGAAAGGUGGUGAGUGUAUAUAUAUAUAUAUAUGUAUAUAUGUAUAUACAUGGAUGGAUAGAAAUGGAAUGGAAUGGUGUAGAAAUGGAUGGGUGGAUGAAGUGUGAUGGAAAUGGAUAUGCAUUAUGCAUUGGAGUAAUGUAUAUGCAUUUGGGUGAUUGGAGUGGAAUGGGGUUAAGGGGGCAGAUGUAUAUAACAGUAUGUCUGUCUUUUUGAUUUCAUUUGCUUUGAUCUUUCAGAUGUGUAUAUGUGUUUGGAUACCAAUGUUAUAUAUUCAUAUUCAUGUUCAUUAUAUUAUGGUCCAUUCAUUUCAUUCCAUUUCAUAUUUAUUCAUUCAUGUAUAUAUACAAAUAAAUAAAUAUAUAUAUAUAUACAUUCUCCAUAUACCAAACUUUCUCCUUCACAGGGACUAUUGCUUAUAAAGCGUCGGAAGCGUGAGGCAAUAACAGGUCA
rnacentral:rRNA from 1 species